CGGGCUGGUUGGGAAGAAUGUACGAACGCAGCUCCACGCCAGACCGCGCGCCGUCGCGCUCCAGGACCAAGACCUGUGCCCGGAAAAGAACGGCAACGCGCCGAUGACAAAAACGUUAACGGCUGAUGGCCCAGGUUUAUCCCCUCCAUUCGACAUCCUUGGGCAAGCCACCUUUCUUGCACGGCUGCGGAACUCCUCGUUGAUGACUUGAUCCAGUUCUGGCGCCUCCUGCGUCGCAUCGAGAAAAGCAUGAACUUAAGUGCGCAAAUCGUUUGGAAAAAGUGGACCGGACGCUGGGCUGGUCCCACUGGAAGGAGAC